GCUCAGUUAGGACCCAGAGGGAACCAUGGAAACCCCAGCGCAGCUUCUCUUCCUCCUGCUACUCUGGCUCCCAGUACCACCGGAGAAAUUGUGUUGACGCAGUCUCCAGCCACCCUGUCUUUGUCUCCAGGGGAAAGAGCCACCCUCUCCUGCGGGGCCAGUCAGAGUGUUAGCAGCAGCUACUUAGCCUGGUACCAGCAGAAACCUGGCCUGGCGCCCAGGCUCCUCAUCUAUGAUGCAUCCAGCAGGGCCACUGGCAUCCCAGACAGGUUCAGUGGCAGUGGGUCUGGGACAGACUUCACUCUCACCAUCAGCAGACUGGAGCCUGAAGAUUUUGCAGUGUAUUACUGUCAGCAGUAUGGUAGCUCACCUCC
rnacentral:lncRNA from 1 species